rnacentral:lncRNA from 1 species
AUGAAACAAAAAAUCGGGAUUUUCCUGCAGAAUUCGGGAUUUUUUGGGGAUUUAUUGGGUUUUUUUGGGGUUUUUGGUGUUUUUUUUGGGAUUUUCUGGGGAUUUUCCAGGGGUUUUCUGGGCGUUUUUUGGGGAUUUUUGGGGGUUUUUGGGGGUUUUCUGGGGAUUUUUGUGGAUUUUUUUGGGGUUUUUUUGGGAUUGGGUUUUUUUUGGGGGGGUUGGGGUUUUUUGGGGUUUUUGCCAUUUUUGGGUUUUUUGGCAGGGUUUUUGUUGGGGUUUUUUUCCCAUUUUUUGGGGAUUUUUGGGUUUGUUUGGGGUUUUUCCCAUUUUUUGGGUUUUUUGGCAGGGUUUUUUGGGGUUUUUUCCCAUUUUUGGGUUUUUUCCCAUUUUUUCCCAUUUUUGGGUUUUUUUGGGGUUUUUUUGGCAGGGUUUCUUGGGGGUUUUGGGGAUUUUUUUCCAAUUUUGGGGUUUUUUGGUUUUUUUCCCAUUUUUUGGGUUUUUUGGCAGGGUUUUUGGGGUUUUUUUUGUUUUUCCCAUUUUUGGGGGAUUUUUGGGGGGUUUUUGGGUUUUUUGGGGUUUUUUUGGGUUUUUUCCCAUUUUUCCAAUUUUUGGGGUUUUUUGGGGUUUUAUUUGGGUUUUUUUUCCCAUUUUUGGGGUUUUUUUGGGGUUUUCUGGCGGGGCUUUUUGGGUUUUUUCCCAUUUUUGGGGUAUUUUUGGGUUUUUUGGGGGGUUUGGGGUUUUUUUCCCAAUUUUUGUGGGUUUUUUUUUUGGUUUUUGGGGUUUUUUUCGUGCCCAGUGUCAGAUCCAGCCGAGACUGAACUUCCUCCUCCUUUUCCUUCUCCUUUUUCUCUUUUUUUUGGGAAUUCUUGGAGUUGGGAAUGGGAAUUAAAAAUUGGGAUGGGCCUGGAGGAGUUGGUGGGGAAAAUGGGAAAAAAUGGGGAAAAAUGGGAAAAAUGGGGGGAGAAAGGGAAAAAAAGGGGGGGACAGAGGAAAAAAAGAGGGAAAAAGAGGGAAAAUGGGGAAAGAAAAGAGGGGGAAUGGGGGGAAAAUGGGGGAAAAUGGGGAAAAAAUAGGAAAAAAAGGGGAAAAUUGGGGGAAAGUGGGGGGAAAAUGGGGGGAAAAUAG